rnacentral:rRNA from 1 species
GGGGGGGCAAGCGUUGUUCGGAAUUACUGGGCGUAAAGGGCGCGCAGGCGGCCUGGCAAGUCCUACGUGAAAUCCCACAGCUUAACUGUGGAACUGCGUGGGAUACUGCCAGGCUUGAGUCCGGGAGAGGAGAGUGGAAUUCCCAGUGUAGCGGUGAAAUGCGUAGAUAUUGGGAGGAACACCGGUGGCGAAGGCGGCUCUCUGGACCGGUACUGACGCUGAGGCGCGAAAGCUAGGGGAGCAAACGGGGAUUAGAUACCCCGGUAGUCCUAGCCGUAAACUUUGAGCACUUGGUGUGGCGGGUAUCACCCCCUGCCGUGCCGAAGCUAACGCAUUAAGUGCUCCGCUGGGGAGUACGGUCGCAAGGCUG